rnacentral:rRNA from 1 species
UACAGAGGUCUCAAGCGUUGUUCGGAUUCAUUGGGCGUAAAGGGUGCGUAGGCGGCGCGGUAAGUCGGGUGUGAAAUCUCGGGGCUUAACUCCGAAACUGCAUUCGAUACUGCCGUGCUUGAGGACUGGAGAGGAGACUGGAAUUUACGGUGUAGCGGUGAAAUGCGUAGAUAUCGGAAGGAACAUCGGUGGCGAAAGCGGCGCGCUGGACCUCUUCUGACGCUGAGGCGCGAAAGCCAGGGGGAGCAA